rnacentral:lncRNA from 1 species
GCCAGCAUCAAUCAUGAGAAGGGAUACGUCCAAUCCAAAGAGAUGAUUGACAUCUACUCCACCCGGGAACCUCAGCUGGCUUUCCACCAGCGCAUCUCCUUCUGCCUGGACAUCCACAACAUGUCCGUCAAGGCCAUGCGCUUUCCCCCCAAAUCCUACAACAAGGACCUGGAGUCUGCAGAGGUGAGCAAGAAUCAAGGGUGGACCUUUUCAAAAGGGAAGCAGGGAGGGACCUGGAGAGCAGGGCAGCCCCUGCCUUGGUGGAGCCCUCAGCCCCUCUCCUCACAGGAACGGCGUGAGCGGGAGCAGCAGGACUUGGAGUUUGCCAAGGAGAUGGCGGAGGAUGACGACGACAGCUUCCCUUGAGCCAGGGCCUGGGGAGGGGUGGGCUGAGUGGAGACUGGCUUUUUGUCUUUUCCCUCAGAGGUCCCCUGCCCGGGAAACUGUUCUCCGCUUCCCACACACAGCUCACAGACUGCAUAUGUGCAGGGGUCAGGGAUGCUGGGAGCCAACCGUCCCCUUCUUGCUACCGUGCCUCUCUGUAGCUGGUGACAGUACACUGUGGGCAGGAGAACGGGUGGCAGCCUCCUGGAGGCAGAGUCCUGCCUCAUGGUGGUGUAGGCAGCAGGAGGGGACGGACAGAACCAUGGAUUAGGGUGUGGACUAGGGCCUGGAGUUGGGGCACAUUGGGUUCUAUGUUUUUGAAGCUUCAAUUAUGAUUUUUAAACAAUAAAAAGUUCUCCAAAACUC